AUACGCCCCUGGCAGAUUGGAUGAACCUAUAACAAAUUUAUAAGCCAUUCGAUUAAUCAAACUGUACACAAGUUGCUGCAACAAGCUCUUCCCUCUUUUAACUUUCCCCUCUUUCUAGCAUGGGCAGACGUCCACCUCACAUUAACGACGUAUCAUGGCGUCUGCAGUACCACAUGAAGAACGGGCAGCUGGAUAAGAUCAACGAGCCUUUCUACCUGAUCUCACUGAACACGGAGAAUGAAGGAUCCUCGGAGGAUAUCAACUUCACCUGCACAACGGAGCAGCUGCAGGUAACAGAAAAAACACGUUAAACAGAGUUUAAUUGUCGGAAAAACAUAACGAAUAAAAACUCAUCCUACUUACGAGAUGUCUGUCCUGUUUGAUGCUUUUUUUGGGGGGGGGGGGG